AUUUCCUUCAAGAAAUCUCUCUCUGAGCAGCAGCCCGACGAAUGCCUGAUAAAACAUAUUUUCCUACGACAGCCCGAGGAAGCGGCUCGGAGGCAUCUCGAAGACUUGGAUCUGGUUCCUGGCCUCGCGGAAUGAGAAUCCGGAGACUGUGCUCACAUUUCCAUGGCUGGGGGUGAUCUCCGUUCUGUGGCAGGAGCCUGGAGCCCGGGGAUUGAAGAGCUCUGCUCCUCGGCUUGUGAGACAGAAUGACCGCAGGUGCUGAGAGAGAGCAGGAAAUCAUCUUUGUAAAGCUGUCCAGAAAGCCUUGAAUUCAGCCUUAUCUGGAGGAUUACCCCACGCAGUUCAGUUCUUGGCAUUCAGCUCCUCUGCAGUCCCCAGCUUCAGCACAGGAAACUCCUUCACCUAGCUGCUGCCAGCAUGCUUUUGGCGACCCUGGCUGUCCCGUCAGCUGUUACAGGCCAUUAAAGGAUUUGUUUCUCGGCGUAUGAAAAGGCUUAAUUCAAUUCUCAUUCUCUUCUGGCAUUCCUCGGAGAGCACUCGGCGUUGUCAUAGCGGGGCCGUAGAUCACAGCGACCUUAGCAUCGUGUCAAGGGGCUUCACUCCAUCAGGGAUAAUGAACGUCUCCCACCGGUUUCUCCCCAUCACUCACUUGAGAUCCAGAAGUUCAUCACGCAAAUGACAAACAAUGUUAAUUUUCUGCAAAUAAUUCCUCCAGAUGUCCGCGGGAUUCCAGCACUCUUUGCCCGCAACGGUAAAAUAUGUUUGUCUUCCUUCCUCUAAUUCAUCAGCAGGCCCACAAAUCUCCCCAAACUCUCUAUAAACAAAGCAAGAGGCAGAAUCUAAUAGUUGUCUGCAGUGCAGGCGUGUCUUGCAGUCUCACUGAUGCAGAUGGGGAAAGGAGUGGUGGAAGAGGUCGAGAAGUUUCUUCUCGGGUGAGAUGUCUUUGACUGCACUCGCCCUUGAAAAGACAGUCAGUGUGAUGGUCUGAGCCAAGCCUCACAUAGGCAUGAGUCUAUGCGGGAAGAGAAACUCCAGGGGAGUGCUUCUGGGCUUAAAACUGAGGAGUGAAACCUGCCGCAAGCUGUAUCUGCGUCACUAGGAGACUUUCCAUCCUGUGGCUGGGCUUCACCAUGGAUAUACUGAGCUGUUUUCACGUGGGCAGGGAGGCAAAUAGGCAGCUUGUUGGUUUCUCCAAGCAUCUCUCAGCUCCCUGAACUCCAGAUUCAGCCAAAACUACAUGAAGAGCAGACAUCCAGGGAGGUUUGGGCCACAGAGCAUAAGGAGUUUUGGCUCGGACAGAUAGGAAGGUAGGAUGCAGAAAUCAGCUCCAGCAAAUGUAUAUGGUAUGUGACAGACCUGUGAUGAAGCUGCCAACAAAGCAUCUCUAUUUUUCAUGCAUAAGAGGCCAGCAGGCAGGUAAGAGAAAAAUAGAAAGAGAAGAGGAUGGUGCAAAUCCUGGUCUCCUUGCCAAACUUUCAGAGGGUCCAAAGCUCAGGAAAGUUUGGAGGCUCCCAGAUUCAUCGUAACUGUGGUUAUGAUUCAUCCUUCUGCUCUGGCUACAGAGAUCGCCCAUCCCUGUGCUCCUGCCUUGCUCUGGCACUCCUGCAGCACUUGGGCUGGUUUGAGGCUGCUGCGAUCCCCAUGGAAGCGGGUCCAACCUUUAAAUGGCACAUACCCACCCCUCCCUUGUUGUCCUUUUCAUACUGGAGAGAUUUGUAAAGGUCCUUCUAAGCAGCAGCUGCUGUGUGGCUCUUUGGUUUUUUUUUUUUUAUGACGAGCUGGAAAUUAAUUUCUUUUCCAGUGGUGUUGGACUAUCUGUUCCCACGUCGCAGUGCAGACUGAGCUCGUAACUCUCUUGACUGCCCUGUGGCUGAGUUAUGGGGUCCUCUGCAGCUCAGCCCAAAGGGUUUAAUUUAGGAAUGGGUAUCUUGAAGAAAGCAGUGAUCUGACACCUGCCUGGUGCUUUUGCAGUCCAUAUCCAUUCUCAUAAUGGACAUAAUCCAUUCUCAAGGUUUUCCCUAGCGUUUGACUGAAAGGUCUCUUGUUGUAUAUUAAGCCUAGGAUUUCUUUCCCACUUCCUUUUUGUUGAUCUGCAGAAUGUAGCCACGUCUCCAUCUCCUCUAGACCAAGCAUCAUAAAUGUUUUCCACCUUUCCUUACCAGCCGUCUCCUAUAGAUUUCCACUCACUGCUGUCUGUCUGCUUUGGACCAUCUCCAGUUAUCCACUCUGGCUUGAAGAUCAGUGUCCCAAACUGGACCCCACUGAGAUCUUAACAGCAUAGAAGAUGUGAGGAGGUGAUUUGGAUGCUUGUACCUGACAUCUUUGUCUGCUUCCAUCCUGGUUGCCCUUGGCAUGAUCUUGAACCCGUUUUGGGGCAAGUAGGGUGAAGGGUUUCAGUUGCUGUCUGGGCCACCCGUUGUCGUCUCCUUGUUGCCACAUGUGGACACUAAUAAGACCAUCUGUCAUAGGAACCCGUGUCUUGAAUGGGGGAUGCUUGGAGCCUUCUAGGCUGUCAUCUACUUCUGGCUUCGCUCAGACUCUGCAGUCCAAAGAGUCAUGUGCAGUGACCCGCCACCAUCCCUGCUUCAGACUCCAGAGUCAGGUAGUUAGAUGAUUCCCUUUCAUGUAAGUACUUUUUUAUCUUUCUUAUCUGUGGAGGGAAGCCAGCACAAGUCAUCUUUGAAGGUAAGGAAAAUGGAACCAAUGUUUUGUAUCCCAGAAAUCUCAUUAUUUUCCAACUAAUCUGCUGACCUCGAAUGCAGGGGUUUGGCAGUUUCUUUAAGGGCUGUUGCUAAACAGAGCAGAAGCAGGUCCAUCUUGGGAAAGUCUGCAUGGGUACAAUAUGAAUUUUCUGUAAGGUGAAUUCUUUGGGCUGUGUCAGAAUGAGACACUGUGGGUGACUUGCCUUUGUCUCAAGCUUGAUGGUAGUUGCCUUUGUCUCAAGCUUGAUGGUAGAUUUCACAAGAGGAAAAAAGUGUGUUUAAGAAGUUACUUGAUGCUGAUCUGUCCAGAGUUUUUUUCCCAGGCUGGAUUUAGGGAAGGAUUAUCUCAGAUUUUCAUUUAGUUCUGAAAUCCUGGGUAUUGGUUUUAUAAACUAAACCCCCUUCGCAGCAGGUUGCUUGUUCUGUAUUGUUGUUUUAGCUUGGUGCAUAGAAAGGAAUUUAAAUUCACUGACAGGGUGGGGCUAGCUCCUCGCUGGGGUAAAUCAGCAUAGUUCAGAUAUUUAAAGGCAGAUGCAUCAGUCCUGGCAGCCGAGGAUCUGGCUUACUUUGAUUAAAAUCUGAUGAAGAUUACUCAGCCUUACCAAGGGACUUGGAUUACCAUUCUAUAAAAAGAAGGGCAGGAGAGCAGAGGACAUUAAAUAUAAAAAUAAUCCAACGAAGGAUGUGAAGCUAAAAGCGUGGCACGUUGAACAAUGAUGCAAACACCCUACUGAAACAGGUGGAGGGCCGCAGGGCUGGUGGGUGCACGCAAGGCUGGAAGCUAGGUUUGAGUCAGAAAGACAUUGCUCUUGUCACAGCCCUGGUCUUGUCUUUUAAAGGCAGAAUGUUCAGAAAGAGAGCCUCGCUCCUUAGAAAAUCCCCAGCGGAGUCUUGCAGGAGAAGAAGUGGGUGACAAAUCCUCUGCCUCUGCUUCCUCGGGGACCCAGGCUAGUGCCAAAUCUCACUACAAAGAGGUGAUUAGAGCUGAGGAACAGAAAGUCAGCUCUUACAGAUCUGAAAGCUUGAAAUGUGCAUCGUCUUUAGGGUUUCUUACAGAGGUUGAACUUCACCUCUCCCUUCUAUCGCAGCGUUCGUUUUCCUGGUUCUUUGUUCCUUUGAAAGCAUGAAGUGUAUUUAGGGGCUGUUAUUACUCCACGUGAUUGUGCUCCAUGGGCAGUGACCGAUAGAAGGGCUGCAAUGAGCCCUUUUUUUUUUUGGCCUUUUAAACGUUUCUGUCAAACCUUUCAGCACAUGUCUAGCUUUCCCAAGAUUUCGUAUCCAGUCCCUUAAAAUCAAUACAGUCUGGUCUUGCCUCUGCAGUGGAGCUAUUGAUAGGGAAGAUGCACUUGGGUCUUCAUCUAACUGCCUUUUGAAGCCCCUAAACCCAUUUGUCUCUUCUUUUGAUGGAGCUUGCUGCCUUGCUCAAUGGCUUGCUUGCAUAGGAAGCACCUUCCUUGCUGACCUCUGUUAAAAACGUGGAAGGUCUUCAAGUAGAGUUGCAGGACUUGUGAUUUGAGUGUCCUUCUUUACCCAGACCAAGGAGAACAGAGUGCAUGGUGCGUUGGCCAUUCUGGAAUCUGUCUAGGGUGGCUGGAAGAUGCUUUAAUGGUGUCAGAAGGCUCCGGGAGCCUGGACAGUGAGGUUGAGCGGCCUUAAGAACGUUGCUGACUUAAACUGACGCAUCUAAAUGCGCUGGAGGAAAGACGAGAGGGCUGUUUGGGGACCUCCUGGGUGAUUACAUACAUGGCUGGUCAGCGACAUCGCCUGAGUGCCCCGGCAGCUAUGCCAGUCUUCCAGUUUUCUUUCAUUGCAGUUCGGGUCGGAUGAGGAUAAGAUUGUGUUUUAAUAAGUGUUUGUUAGGGAGUGCUUCCCCCCCCGCCUCCCACCCGCAUGAAACUGUUUAUUUUCCUUGCAGUAACACGUGUGUUGCUCAGCUUCUGCUGUUCCAUGUGUCGUGCUCUGUUACUCUGCCUUGCUCGCAGCCGCAGAGCAGGGGGAACGCUGCCAAGGCUUUUUCUGGGAAUUUGCUCUGGUCGUGCUGCUUCCCCGGGAGCACUCAGCGGAUGCAUGUUGUUUGCAGGGGGGGGGGAACACUCAAAUGUCAGCAUCUGAAGGGAUCACGAAGGAAGCAAGGCGAGCACCAACUACUCUUCCACCUCUCAGAGGUGCCUGCAUACACACAGCCUUGAUGCAACCCUGCUGCAGAUUAUAGACGUGUUUUGGUUGAGAUUCUCUGUGCUUGAUGCAUUGUCUGCCUGCAACGCAGGGCAAACUCUACUCCUCCCUUCUGGCCCGGCCUGUAAUGAUGGAUUAAGUAGGUAAGUAAUAGAGUGGUAAUGAGAUAACCACUGACAUCGAGCAUUAACGUGGGAAUAAAUGAAGUUACCAUCCAGAACUAAUGGCCUGAACUAUCACUGGGUUGUAAUUAAUGAACGUGGUGGCUGAGAUUUACAAGGAUAUUUUAGGAUGCUGUUUGCAUGCAGCUUUGGCUUUUAUGGCUUGGUUGGAAAGAAAUCAAUUAAUGCCAUGAACUUAAUGAAUGAGAUGACGAUGUGCUUUGUCAGAUUGUAGUGCCCCUUUUGUGGAAGCGGCUAGACUGGUGUGCACGUGGAAUGCUGUUGUUUGCCUUACUUCAAGGGACGGAAGAAGUUAGGAUACUGUGAUCUCUGUCUCCCUAGGUCACUUACUCUGUAGUGUGUAGUGGAGCUGUUGCAAAGUGUCUCUGAUGGCCAAACUACACACUAGUGGUGUGCCUGUGCUCAAGAGGCCUUGCUUGGAGAGCUGUCCCUCUCUCCUUGCAUGGCUUAGUAGGCAUGUGACCCUGCCAAACACUUUGGAUAUGUGUGAAUAACACUUUUGAGGUGGUUGCUAGGCUGUUGCAGAAAACACAGAAGAGCAGUCAAAAUUCUUCACGUUAAUUGGUGGGAACAAUCCAGCCAUCUCUGCUGACUGUUGCUUCUCUCAUCUUUCCAUGGCAACAGUCUCUCUACAGCAGCCCAGGUGCUCAUGGUUGGGCAUGCUGGGAUUUCUGAGCCCUCUGUCUUCCAAAUCACCCCCUUGGAGCAUGGAGGGAACAUCUGUACCGCUAAAGUAUGGCAUCACACGAUGCAUCAAAGACAUCUCUUUGUGUAAUCAUGUUCCUUAUGCUGUCAGAGACAGAAAACUUUGGGAACGUGAACUGAACCCUUACAUUUCUUCAGUGCAAAUGCUGUUGCCCUGUUUUUUGAUGAGGAGAGGAAGGUGCUGAGUCUUUCCUGUCCUGGCCGUGUCCAUGGACCGAGCUGUCAUACCAUUCUGAGAGCUGGAGGAAGGAAAGGGACUGGUAAGCAAAGGGAAGGAUGAUGUCUCUCUCUCUGCCACAGAGCCCAGCCUGACUGCUGGUGUCAAGUUGCCUUUUGGAAGCCAGGAUGGUGGCUGGAGGUGAGAAUAAGGAGAGAAAGUGGCUCAGGCACUGCAUCGUCCUCACCUCUGCUCCCUGCUGUGAAUAUAAGCGUGUGGAGAUAGCACAAAGAGGGGUGCUGCCCACUUCUAGCAGGGUAGAGUAGGUAUGGAGGAGGCAUCCCUUCUGCCUUGCCUCUCUGAAGCAUGUUCCAGGCAUGUUCUAGCACCAUUUUCUCUUCUGGGACCUGUUUUACAGGCACUUUUAAUGAUUCUAGGGGAAAAUGAGAGACAGAUGGCCAGUGAUGAACCCAGUCCAAAGCUGCCCAGACUUGAGGGAGGGUGUCGUUUCAGCUGGAAGCAUCACAUCUUUGAGGUGCACGCUCAGUAGUUCCCUUCCACGCUGAGCAGGAGGAAGGAAUUUCCACCUGCUGGACCAGCGUAAGCCAAGACCCAAAUUGAGCAAAGUAUGGUUCAUGGAUUUACACAUUAUGUGAUAUGCACCUUCCCUUCCCCCAGCUUUGGGAAGUUUAUUGCCCCCAACAAAGUAUGCCGUGUGGCAGGCUGUUAUGUGACAGGGGAAAAUUACCCAGACUGUUCUCCAGAAGGCAAGUGAGCAAAAAUUUUCCUCCAACUGGUUCAGGACAAAGUUAAUGUAGGAAAGCCAUUAAAAUUAAUGCUGGUAAUCAAGGAUAAAAACCAGCAGGGCUGUAACAAAAUUUGGACCAGAUUGAGUUUCCCAGCUGUCAUGCUGCAUGCUUUCUUAAAGGCAGCAGGCAGAGGGAGGGUGUAGUGUAAGGCAGGCUUGGAAAGUUCUUGUCAAGGGUGUGAGUUUGGGGGCAUCUGGAUUCUGGUGGCAUUGGCUCCUUGGUCCGGCACUGUCUUUUUUUGUUUUUGAGGAAGCAAUGUCUCUGCUUGGUCUGAUGGUCCUUAUGACUUGUGUUUUAUUCAUAUCAUGUUUACCUGCUUUCUUCCAGAGUCUGCCCUCAGAAUUCAGGUCCUUCUCCAGGACUCUGGGAACCUGCCUGCGUGUGAUUGACGGCAUCACGUGAGCGUGUAUGGGGCUGCAUCUCAUGCUGUCGGGUCAGAGAUUACCUCCAAGCAGCCAAUACUCAAUGUUCAGUUAGAAAAGAUGCAAAGAAGCAGAGCCAUUCCCCUCUCUGUGUCAUCUGCCUCUGAGAGUGGGAGAGUGCUGGCAGAGCGCUACCGGGUCUGUACUGGUAUAGAGAGGAAGGCUCAGAUUUGAUGAUUUGUCCAUUAUCUGGUGGUGGAUACAGCCUAACCUGGGCUCAGAGCAUCCCAAGGUCUGUAUCCUAGUGCAGGAACUGGCUGCUGCUGCUCUCUUCUGAAUAGACAGCUUUCUCCAGCCUCACAGCAUGCUAAUGUAGGCCAGUCACCUUCACCACAACUCCUGGCGCAAGAUAUUCAGCAGACUUGAUGCUUCAUAGUAGGCUGAAUCUGGUAUAACCAAGGCAGAAUUUCUACCUGCCAGUAGUGAAGUAAUGCCCUGUGAUUUCAAGUGACCACUGGUUUGACAGCAGUAGUGAAAGGGAAAGGCAUGAAUAGGCCAGAUAUCAGGAAAACCUUCUCAGGAGUGAUGAGGCUGUGAAAUGGACUGCCCAGGGAGGUGGUGGAGUCACUGUCCCUGGAGGUGUUCAAGAACUGUGGAGACGUGGCACUGAGGGACGUGGUUUAGUGAGCAAUAAUGGUUGAUGGGUGGACAGCUGGAUUAGAUGGGUCCGACUAGAGGUCCUCCAAUUAGAGGUCUUUUCCAAUCUAAAUGAUUCUAUGAAAGCAGUCGACCGUUUUCUUGCAGUCUCUGAGAAGCUUGGAUAUGGUGUCUGAAACGAGCUAAGGAAGCCACCUAAUCUCUGAGCACAUCCACCUUCUGCAGCAUACACCCUUCCAGCCACAAAGAGGUCCUGAGUCCCUCAGUGGCUGCAAAGAACAGCAGGUAGAUGGAGCAGACAGAGAUGGAGAGCAUUCUUUUGUUGCUUUUUUUUGGGGGGGGGGGGAGUAUCGUUGAAGAAUCAGGGUGACAAAAAUAUUUUGAUGGAAGUGACUAUGUGAAAUAUCUUUUCAUUUUGAUUAUUUGAAAAACAAAAACUGUUCAUGGGUUUUAAAAUUCAUGUCCCCUCCGGGUUGCUUUGUUUUGUUUUGUUUCUUAUUCCUUCUCCCUUAUUCCUCAGAGGAAGCCAUCCAAACCUACACGGUGCGUCAUUUCUUGAGGAAAUGCAGUGUGAUCUUUUUUUCCAGUUUAACCUGGGCUGAAAAAUCUUCUGGUGUUUCAUUUGCCUGAGAAAUCGGGAAAAAAAAAGCUUGGAUGAAACAGGAAUCUGGCUGGUUCACAGGGAACCUUCUUGGUUUUGGAGACCCACUUGGGUGGGGUAGCUGCAGGAGCUCUUUGUUGUGCAGGCUGGGGAGGAGGUGAUGCCAUCUUUGCCUGGGCCAUACUUUGUGCCCAAUGCCUCCUCCAGGGGUGAGGGGCAUAAGGGGUGCAGAGCUGUGUCUUGGUUGCAGCAGGGAACUGCUACCACUGAAGUAUGAUUCUCAGCUUUCUGGAGUUGUGGAAAACAUCUGGACAAUGGUUGAAAUUGGAAGAGCGAAGGGCUAUCCUGGCUUUUGAGGGCAUAUCAUGGGAUGUCCCGCAGGUGGCUUGUUGGAGGUGAACCACAGAGGGAGGACUGCACUGGAGAGGCAUAGAGGCUCACAUGGGACGGGAGUGGUGGCAACUGCCUGUAUGCCUGGAAGCAGGGCAAGCAGUGGACUGGGGGUGGAGGAGACCACCUCCGCCUGUUGCUGCCAUCUCCACGAGCUGCCAGCUCUGCCGUGUAGCUUUGCCCAGAUCUGCAGUAGAGCUGCUCAUCCCCAGCCCUGCCAUCCCUGUGCCCCACAUGCUGCCUCUCCUAUAAAUAGCCGGAUGGGAAGCAGAGCGCAGAGCCGCCGCAGAUGGCCCCCAGUUCCACGCGCACUCAUGUGUGAGAUCCCAGAGAGGGGCUGUCAAUUCCUUGCCUACAGCCACCCAUGCAACCUCAUUAAGGAUGGUGUCGUCUUCCUUAACCCCCAUCGCCCCCUCCCUCCCCACUUCAACGUGCCUCCAUUUGAGCACCCUUAUUAAACGUGCACUUCUAAGCAAGGAGCGCUGACUUCCCCUUAAUUGAGGCAUAAUAAUUAGAGCAUUAACACAUUAGGAGGGUGAGACAGCAUGUUUAGCUUUUGUGAUUAAUUAUCUGAGGAUUGUAAUAAGUUGUUAAGACAUUAAUUACUCUGGCAUGUUUAUUGCUCUUUAUUGCAGAACUGACACUUGGUGGAAGAGUUGCUGGUGUGCCUGGCGGUGCACCGUGAGGUGGGCUGGCCAGGGGAGACCUCUGCUCCCCCAUAGGCACUGAGCUGCUGCUUGGGAAUGGAUCUAGGGGAGCAGAAACAGCUCCUGAACCUCCAGCAGGACACCUCGGGAUGGAAGUGGUGUCUGAAUCUCUUAGAGUCGUAGGAUUAUGAAGGUUGGAAUAAAACACUGAGAGCAUCAGCCCAUCCCCACCGUGCCCACUAAACCAUGUCCCUCAAUGCCGCGUUCUCCCUCAUCUUGGGGCAGCCUGGGAGCUGGAAGGCUUAUUUUUAUGGAUGGUUUCAGCUGGAUUUCUCUCUUCUUUCAAACAAAGUGUUUCCUCUCGGAUGGUUUGAGCCUGCCCUCAUUUGGAUCUUUGUUUUUGCAAAUCCAAGUCAGCGUGGCUCAUUGUGCCUGGAUCUGAGGAGGAUGGCUGUCUGUUAACGACAAGCUGAAGUUCAGCGUGUCGGCGGUGGUCAGGGAGUGAACCAGGACCCCAGUGGCCUCGCUUGGCUCUUGAUCAGAUGAAUUUUCUUCUGGAGAGCUGGGAGUCUGUUCCCAUGAGAUUUAUAGACUCUGACUGUCCCUGAGACCUCUGCCUCUCUGUCAGAUCAGGCUGAAAUCUGUUCUCAGUGUCAGAAGCUGCUGCCAAGCAGGCAGGGGAUGGACUGAUGCGUGUGUUUUGCAGCCCAUAAGAACUCAAGCACAGACCUGGGGGGCGAUGGGAGCUCUGAUUGCCAACUUGUGGGUUCAGGAAGGUGAGCCUCCAGGAGAAGGGCCGUGCCCGCAGCCAUCCUGCAUGAGAUGCCGUGCUGCGGGAUGCUCACGGGCUGCACUUCGUGUUCCCAUCGCCUGCGGUGACCAUCACAAGCGGCGCAGCCCCUGUGGGAACGGCCCCUGAGGACAAUAAACGAGCCAGCCCCGAGCUCCAGGCUGCUGUGAAGAAUUGCCUGGCUAAAGGAUAAUGAAUACCGCAGCAGGAGACGGAGCGUUUCUCCGAGGCCAUCCAUCCCCUUUAUCACCCCGCUAACAAGCCCCUGAGCGACUUCAGAGAGGCUUCUGCAGAGCAGCUCAAUCCCUCACCGUGCUGGCGGCUGGGUGCUGGGGGCUCUGCGGGAAGCCACAGCCCCAUCCCACAGAGCAACCGCCAGUGCCCUCCAGGGGUCCAUGUAGUGCCAAGGAGGGGCAGAAGAGCCAGGCAUCCUUUUUUUUUCCAAGGCACUUUUGGGCCCUGCAGCACCCUUUGGAGCAUUGCUUUACCCAGCUCCCAGCCUGGCAAAGAUUUCUGAGAUCUGUGCGAGGCUCAGGAGGAGUUUAGUGCUGCUGGCCAGGAGGUGAGUUGGUUCUGCUUCACUUGCAGCACAGCUGAGUCUGUGCACGAGCCCGAUGCAGGGCAGAGAGGGCAGGAGCGAUGUGCUCUUCCUAAGAGCUAAUAAAAGCUGAUUCCUCCCAUAGCUCCGAGCCAGUGGGAAGCAUUAGUGGCUGGCUGAGUGCCUCCCACGCUGUGCAGCGUGCUGGGUGCUUGUCCUCCUGCGGAGGGAAAGGCAUCUCAGCAAGAACUCAGGCAUCCCUCCUAGGAGGGCAAACCAGGCGUGUAGCUGGGCAGCUGGGCAUGGGAGGCGAGUGGGAGCGCGUGGCACAAAAUUCCCAUUUCUGAGCAAGUUCUCCUGCCUAUGCUCAGGGCUUGGGGUGGGAGCGGCACACUCAUGGCCUGACUGGUGUCCAAAAAGCCCCGGUGCUGAAUGCCUCCAUUGAGAAGCUUACGUGUACGUCAGCAUCCCAAGCGUGCUGGUAUGUGGUGUGCCCACCUGCCUGAGUGUGUCUGGGGCACCGCAUGCAGUGUGUAGGCACUCAGCAGGGCUAAUUGCCAGUAAUUGGAAGGCUUCUUUUGUCUCCUCUUUCCUGCAUUAUUUUGCCUUCUCUUCCAG
ensembl:lncRNA